CCCCUAGUAACUGCGAGUGAAGCGGGAUGAGCUCAAAUUUGAAAUCUGGCGGCUCCGUCGCCCGAGUUGUAAACUGGAGAAGCGUUUUCCGUGCCGGACCGUGUACAAGUGCCUUGGAACAGGACGUCAUAGAGGGUGAGAAUCCCGUCUUUGACACGGACCCCCGGUGCUCUGCGAUGCGCUCUCGAAGAGUCGAGUUGUUUGGGAAUGCAGCUCAAAAUGGGUGGUAAAUUCCAUCUAAAGCUAAAUAUUGGCGAGAGACCGAUAGCGAACAAGUACCGUGAGGGAAAGAUGAAAAGCACUUUGGAAAGAGAGUAAAACAGUACGUGAAAUUGUUGAAAGGGAAACGCUUGAAGUCAGUCGCGUCUGCCGGAACUCAGCCUUGCUUCUGCKAGGUGCACUUUCCGGUUUGACGGGCCAGCAUCGGUUUCGAGCGGCGGACACUGGCUUGGGGAAGGUGGCGACUCCGGUCGUGUUAUAGCCCCUUGUCGCGAACGUCGCCCGGGACCGAGGAAUCCGGCGCAAGCCUGGGAUGCUGGCGUAAUGGCUUUAAACGACCCGUCUUGAAACACGGACCAAGGAGUGCUACGUGCUCGCGAGUGUUUGGGUGGAAAACCCGGACGCGCAAUGAAAGUGAAAGUCGAUACCCUUCUGGGACACCGACGCCCGAGCCUGAUGUUUUCGGAAGGCCUUGCGGUGGAGCGAGUGCGUUGCGACCCGAAAGAUGGUGAACUAUUCCUGAGGAGGGCGAAGCCAGAGGAAACUCUGGUGGAGGCUCGUAGCGGUUCUGACGUGCAAAUCGAUCGCAGGACUUGGGUAUAGGGGCGAAAGACUAAUCGAACCAUCUAGUAGCU
rnacentral:rRNA from 2 species